CUGGUGGCUUAGUGGUUAGAGUGUCCGCCUCAAACUCGAGAGGUUGCGGGUUCGAAUCCCGGCCGACUCGU